GUGGGGAAUCUUGCGCAAUGGGCGAAAGCCUGACGCAGCCAUGCCGCGUGAAUGAUGAAGGUCUUAGGAUUGUAUAAUUCUUUCACCGGGGACGAUAAUGACGGUACCCGGAGAAGAAGCCCCGGCUAACUUCGUGCCAGCAGCCGCGGUAAUACGAAGGGGGCUAGCGUUGCUCAGAAUUACUGGGCGUAAAGGGCGCGUAGGCGGACAGUUUAGUCAGAGGUGAAAGCCCAGGGCUCAACCUUGGAAUUGCCUUUGAUACUGGCUGUCUUGAGUACGGGAGAGGUGAGUGGAACUCCGAGUGUAGAGGUGAAAUUCGUAGAUAUUCGGAAGAACACCAGUGGCGAAGGCGACUCACUGGCCCGUUACUGACGCUGAGGCGCGAAAGCGUGGGGAGCAAACAGGAUUAGAUACCCCAGUAGUCC
rnacentral:rRNA from 1 species